rnacentral:misc_RNA from 1 species
AACUGAUACUACCUGCGGGAACCUGCGGAGGGAUCAUUACCGAGUUUACAACUCCCAAACCCAAUGUGAACGUUACCAAACUGUUGCCUCGGCGGGAUCUCUGCCCCGGGUGCGUCGCAGCCCCGGACCAAGGCGCCCGCCGGAGGACCAACCAAAACUCUUAUUGUAUACCCCCUCGCGGGUUUUUUUAUAAUCUGAGCCUUCUCGGCGCCUCUCGUAGGCGUUUCGAAAAUGAAUCAA